rnacentral:rRNA from 1 species
CGAUGAAGCCCUUCGGGGUGGAUUAGUGGCGAACGGGUGAGUAACACGUGGGCAAUCUGCCCUUCACUCUGGGACAAGCCCUGGAAACGGGGUCUAAUACCGGAUAACACCGGCUUCCGCAUGGGAGCUGGUUGAAAGCUCCGGCGGUGAAGGAUGAGCCCGCGGCCUAUCAGCUUGUUGGUGGGGUAAUGGCCUACCAAGGCGACGACGGGUAGCCGGCCUGAGAGGGCGACCGGCCACACUGGGACUGAGACACGGCCCAGACUCCUACGGGAGGCAGCAGUGGGGAAUAUUGCACAAUGGGCGAAAGCCUGAUGCAGCGACGCCGCGUGAGGGAUGACGGCCUUCGGGUUGUAAACCUCUUUCAGCAGGGAAGAAGCGAAAGUGACGGUACCUGCAGAAGAAGCGCCGGCUAACUACGUGCCAGCAGCCGCGGUAAUACGUAGGGCGCAAGCGUUGUCCGGAAUUAUUGGGCGUAAAGAGCUCGUAGGCGGCUUGUCACGUCGGGUGUGAAAGCCCGGGGCUUAACCCCGGGUCUGCAUCCGAUACGGGCAGGCUAGAGUGUGGUAGGGGAGAUCGGAAUUCCUGGUGUAGCGGUGAAAUGCGCAGAUAUCAGGAGGAACACCGGUGGCGAAGGCGGAUCUCUGGGCCAUUACUGACGCUGAGGAGCG